rnacentral:rRNA from 1 species
UACGAAGGGGGCAAGCGUUGUUCGGAAUUACUGGGCGUAAAGGGAGUGUAGGUGGACGUGUAAGAUAGCGGUGAAAUGCCGGGGCUCAACCUCGGAAUUGCCAUUAUAACUAUGCGUCUAGAAUUAUAGAGAGGAUAGUGGAAUACCCAGUGUAGAGGUGAAAUUCGUAGAUAUUGGGUAGAACACCGGUGGCGAAGGCGACUAUCUGGCUAUAUAUUGACACUGAGGCUCGAAAGCAUGGGGAUCAAACAGG